rnacentral:rRNA from 1 species
GACGAACGCUGGCGGCGUGCUUAACACAUGCAAGUCGAACGGAAAGGCCCUGCUUUUUUGGGGUGCUCGAGUGGCGAACGGGUGAGUAACACGUGAGUAACCUGCCCUUGACUUUGGGAUAACUUCAGGAAACUGGGGCUAAUACCGGAUAGGAGCUCCUGCUGCUUGGUGGGGGUUGGAAAGUUUCGGCGGUUGGGUAUGGACUCGCGGCUUUUCAGCUUGUUGGUGGGGUAGUGGCUUACCAAGGCUUGGCCGGGUAGCGGGCCUGAGAGGGGAACCGGCCAAAUUGGGACUGAGAUACGGCACAGACUAAUACGGGAGGCAGCAGUGGGGAAUAUUGCACAAUGGGCGGAAGCCUGAUGCAGCAAAGCCGCGUGCGGGAUGACGGCCUUCGGGUUGUAAACCGCUUUCGCCUGUGACGAAGCGUGAGUGACGGUAAUGGGUAAAGAAGCACCGGCUAACUACGUG